rnacentral:tRNA from 1 species
GCAGCAGUGGUUUAGUGGUAGAACUUUUGCCUUCCAUACAUGAGACCCAGGUUCGAUUUCUGACCAAUGCA